rnacentral:miRNA from 1 species
UAUCACAGUUAGUGAAUGGGGA